rnacentral:tRNA from 1 species
CGGGCUAUAGUAUAGUGGUAAUACGUACCCUUGGGGUGGGUAUGUCGGCGGUUCGAUUCCGCCUGGCCCGACAA